CCUUCGAUUGCUCAGUUGGUAAAGCGGAGGACUGUGAAUCCUUAGGUCGCUGGUUCAAAUCCGGCUCGAAGGA